rnacentral:tRNA from 1 species
AGGGUAAUAGCUCAGUGGUGGAGUGUGUGCUUAGCAUGCGCAAGGUCCUGGGUUCAAUGCCCAUUUCCAUUA